CAUAAAAGCUGAGCUGAAGAAGUUCCAGGUGGGUGGUGCCAGUCCUACAGAUGCGACCCAGUUUGUGUACCUGUACUCGGGCGGCACGGGCAACGGGUCCAUCCCUGGCUUUUCUGCCUCAUCAGCCCAUAAAACAGAUGAUGAAGACAGCGACAACAGCAAGGCUGCCUUGAGCUACAAGGACAGACAAAGGGAAGCUCACACAGCGGCAGAGCAGAAACGCCGGGAUGCCAUCAAGCUUUAAUAAAAUGGACCCAACAGUUGCCAACCCAACAGUUGCCA